UGGAGUUUGAGGCUAUCCUUAACUUGGACUACAUGAGACCCAGCCCCAAAAGAAAAUGUGUAAGUAACUGUGUUGGGAAGUCUUGGAAGAGUGGCAUCACUAAACUUCCUCCUCUUGCCUCUGCUCUUUGUGUGAAGAUCUACCCUCAGGAGAGGCACAGCAUCCGGGUUCCCGAGUCUGGAGAGCACUAUGAACUGCACCUACUGCACUACCUUCAGGAGAACCUUGGAUCGCGCAUCGCUGCUCUGAAAGUGAUGUAACUCUGACUCGUGUAGAACCUGCGUACACCGUCUAACCACACAAGGAGGGUUAGCCAAUAGAGAAGCCAGAGUUGACGAUCCCACUUUUAUACCCGCCACAUAAGAUCUACUUCUGAAAGUAAAUUUGGUGCCAUGCAGAAAUCUGCAGCUCAUGGAUAGUAAUCUAACACCUUAACCAUGCACAGAGAACUGAGUGACGUGUUCCCAAGACAGUGCAGUGCCUGAGGGUACGGAACGCAGCACCAGCGCCACACACAGACCAGCCUGCGUCCACUUUAGCAGUGUCAGCCUUGGGACUUAACUAGUGGAUUUGACAGUGUACCCUGAGUUUGUUCAAAUAUGAUGAUAGUAGUGAUUGAUUUGGUUCAGUUCCAGGAUCUCUGACUAGUUAUGGAUUUGAUAGCACUUACGUCUGAUUGAAUAGCUUAUGCUUCCUCACUUGGGUUGUAUCCAGCAUGUCAUGAACUAAAUACUACUAAGCUUAUGACUUUCCUAGUCAUUAAUAAUUUUUCAAGGAUAACUUAGUGGCCUCCUGAAGAUACUUACUUAGGCUCUGACCAAUU
rnacentral:lncRNA from 1 species